rnacentral:rRNA from 1 species
UACGAAGGGGGCUAGCGUUGCUCGGAAUCACUGGGCGUAAAGCGCACGUAGGCGGCUUUUUAAGUCAGGGGUGAAAUCCUGGAGCUCAACUCCAGAACUGCCUUUGAUACUGAGAAGCUUGAGUCCGGGAGAGGUGAGUGGAACUGCGAGUGUAGAGGUGAAAUUCGUAGAUAUUCGCAAGAACACCAGUGGCGAAGGCGGCUCACUGGCCCGGUACUGACGCUGAGGUGCGAAAGCGUGGGGA